UGUGUAGUACUACGACACGAACAAAAACCCCAGGAAUUUCUCGACGAUUCCUAUCGAUUUGCGCUUCGGAGCUGGCGCGAAACCCCAAAUCCGCCGCCCAAAUAUUGGCGGUUUCGAUCGGAUUCGCCAUCCAUGUAUGUAUGAUCCGAUUUGUGGCGGUGAAUUUUGAUCGGUUUGGUUUGGAUUUUGGGUUUUGUUUCUCGGUCAGAUGGAUGGAUGGGUGGGUGGAUUGGCGCCGGCGAUGCCGGAGGUGCUGCUCGUCUUGGCGCGCGCGGCGAGGGAUCGGUGUCGGGGCGGUCUCGCCCUCGUCUCCGUCGACGGGCUCCUCGCCGCGGCCAGUGGGGGGAGUUCGCGCGGAUCUACGAAUACGAGGAGGCGCGCCUCAGGCGACGAGUAGGCCUGCGGCUGGGUGGCUCCAUCUCGAUGGAGAGGCGAGCCCCCGGGCUGAUGGGGCGGGCGGUGAUGGAGUGUGCGUCGCGCCGGCCAUCCCCGGUAAGAAGGUAGGGUGAGUCGCUGAGGAAAAACGAUUCCGAUGAGACUCCGAUCAUGGGCGCAGCUAAUGGUGGCUUGGAGAGUCAGUAGAAUGCCCAGGCCGGGAUUUCCCCACGGUGAAGGUGCAGAGAAUUGGAGAAAAGCCUUUGGGAUGAUGCACAACAGCAGAAGCUGCAUUUCCCGAUUCAGCUGGUGAGAGAGAGGAUGAGGCGAUGGAGGUUGUGGCGAAAAAAAAUGGCAGAGCUUGAUGGCUAAGGACGUGGUUGUGAAAUCAGGGAUAGCUAUGAGGAAGAGUACGUUUUAGAAGGUGGGUGAAAUCUAAGCAACCUCUUUCAAGCGAAAAGGAUGGUUAUCCUCGGCUUUUCAUAGUAAACCAUGGGAUGACCGGGGACUCACAGUCUAGAUGUAGCCUCAUUCUGCACGACUGGUUCAUUAACAUGAUAAACAUUCCAGAUCAUACAUCUAAUAUUUGUUGGCUGAGGGGAGAAACAUAAGUUAUCCGCACAGUUUGGAUUGAAUUGCGGUAUGAAUAUAACCAAGGCAGAGUAGGAGUUGGGCAAGGGGAAUUGCAAUACAGCCAACGUUGAUUAGAUAUUUCUGCCUUUUCUUUAUUGGAGAGGUAAUAACAAUUUCCAUUGUUCAACCUCACAGUCCUGAAGUUACCCCGAGCAGAGUAAGAAGUGCCCUGGAAAUAAGCUGUAGGAAAAAUACGAAGAUACAUGCAUCAUUCUGCUCAUUCUUUCUUUCCUUUUGAUCAAAAGUAGACAAAAAAGAUUAUCUUUCUUUCUUGCUUACCGCCUUUACUGCUUUUCCUUUUCUGCAAAUUCAAUUCGUAGGCAUUGCACGUACGGAUAUUGCUAGGCUAUUAGCCUAUUACUAGCUACAGUGAGGGCUUAACAGCCCUAUACUAUCCUUUUCUCAUCAGAAACUCUAUUUUAGAGAAAAGGAGGAUACAAAGGCUGGCCAAUGCAUGGUGCGACACUGUGACCCCAUGCAUCAACCUUGUAGUUGGCACCGAAUCCCACUCUCCAAGGCAGCUUCACCUUGACACAUCCAUCUCUUUGCUUCAUCUCUCACUGCCUUUUCUUUUCCUUUUGGCUCUUAAAAGUUGCGUAUCUUUAGCUCUUUCCAAGGGAGGGGGUACUUCGAGCCCACAAUGUGCUACUACUACUCACUGGCCACUAUGCUUGCAUUUCCUAAUUGGCUUCCGCAAUGAAAUCUGAACCUGUCUGAAUGAGAUCUGGAGGCCUUUGUGUCUACUGGCUUCUGAUUCCCUCCCUGGUUUUGAACUUUCAAGUCCUGCUUACUUAAACCUACAGUGCACCUCCUUUCUGUGAUUGAUUCGUGGUACUUUAACGGUUGGAGGUGUGAAACCAAGCUACGACUAAAAUGUGCAGAUGUUGGAGGUGGAAUAAAGCGAACUCUUGUCCUGGGUGCUUUGCAGCUCGCCGGCAUAAAUCACAUUUUAGCCUAUUUUUGUAUUGCAAGCAAUUUGGAUGGCUGAGGAAUGAUUCACAAAAUACCUCGUCAGAAAUGGUACAUUUUUCAGUACAGAUACGUCUUGGGAAAGAUGCACUGUGCCUGAGACUGAAUCUUGGCCUCACUUACUUUGAAGUUUGAAACUGUGGUACCAUUUUUCUGAAUGUAUCAGCAAGACAGCAAGCUUAACAUCUCUGUAACUACUAUGCAGGUUUCUUGCCAGUUUGCUCCUGCAGGUCCAGUACUCCAGUGUGGCCACUGGCCGGCCAGUUGAUGAAAGAGGAAACAGUGGCAUAGCCGCAUAGGCAGUGCUGCAACAAGCUCGGCCGGUGAGUGAUGACAAGCACGCGGUCCCUGCUGUGUUUUGUGUGGCAGUCACAGUGCAAUCCAGAAUGGGACUGGGAGCAUGGCCGGGACAGAUGGUUUUGAUGGAUGUACACUGCCGGCCGGUCUGCAUCGCCGUCCCGUGUGUCACGGGCACUCGUACAUCGCCGGGCGUCGCCGUCGCUGGCCCACCCGUCAGUGGCACACGGUGGGGUUGCCUUUGUUACAGUGGGAGGCUGGUUGCUGGCUAUGAUGUUAACCUGACCUAUUGCUGCCAUUGCUGCUGCUUGCACACUGUGGCUCUCCAGUGAUCCCAUCUCAACAUAUAUCCGGUUUGUUUGUGCAUUCGGUGUCAUGGCCAUUCUGAAGCUGCGUCCCAGGUUAAAGUGGUGUACCCAUCCAAUGCUGCUGCUGUUCUUGAUGUGCCUGUCCUGAUACAUCACAAGUGAAGUCCAGUCCAGUUCAGUUCAGUGUCCCCCCACCUCUUCACGAGACCAGCUGCCGUGCUCGAGCAACAACCAUAGUCACAGUUGCAUUGCAGUAUGGGAAAGGACAAACGGUGUGGCUCAAAUUGGUAGCUCAUCCAAGUAAGCUCCAUCUCCGUUAACGGAUAGAAGCAGGCAAGCAUUGGCUCCUUCUACUGCAUUGUACACAGGCAUGUGACUGACUGUGUCAUGAGGGUUUUCGGUUUAGCAACUUAGCAUGAUGCUACUACAAAAGAUUUGUUCAUUGCUGCAGCAGUUGGGGAGUUUGCAAGGUGGUAACUAGGAAAGGUAAUGAUCAAGAUCAACACAGGACAAAAAACGGCGAGGCCAAGAAGCAACAUGCCAUGAGUAGAGUGAUGCAAGCCACAUGCAUUCCUGUGUAGUUGUUUGGCAACAAGUCGACACAAUGGCACGCUACACAUGGGAGUUCGGUGUGGCUGUGCCUUAGGGUUUGGGACUUUGGGGGAGAGCAUGUGUAGUAGUAGUAGCAGGAGCAUUGUGUAAUGGGAGGCUGCCUGUUGGUGGUGGCUACAAGCUAAGUUGGUAGUACAAGAUUUGUUUAUGCACAGUUCAUCAAUGGCAUGCAUCAGGCACUUCUGCCAGCCAAAGUACUAGUAUAUGUUUAGCCUUUAAACAAACAAAAUACUAUUUGUUUAGACUGGUAAUUUUUUAAUUUGGGUGUUAAAAAAACAGGGCAAAUCAAACCAGAUCUAGCCAUGGCAAACGCCAAAUUAUGGAGCACAUGCUUUAGCAAUCGAGCAUAAGCAAGCAAUGUAUACUUAAAAAGGUUUUAAG